GGUUAAGCGACUAAGCGUACACGGUGGAUGCCCUGGCAGUCAGAGGCGAUGAAGGGCGUGCUAAUCUGCGAUAAGCGCCGGUAAGGUGAUAUGAACCGUUAUAACCGGCGAUACCCGAAUGGGGAAACCCAGUGUGACUCGUCACACUAUCAUUAACUGAAUCCAUAGGUUAAUGAGGCGAACCGGGGGAACUGAAACAUCUAAGUACCCCGAGGAAAAGAAAUCAACCGAGAUUCCCCCAGUAGCGGCGAGCGAACGGGGAGGAGCCCAGAGCCUGAAUCAGCAUGUGUGUUAGUGGAAGCGUCUGGAAAGGCGCGCGAUACAGGGUGACAGCCCCGUACACAAAAGCGCAUGUGCUGUGAGCUCGAUGAGUAGGGCGGGACACGUGGUAUCCUGUCUGAAUAUGGGGGGACCAUCCUCCAAGGCUAAAUACUCCUGACUGACCGAUAGUGAACCAGUACCGUGAGGGAAAGGCGAAAAGAACCCCGGCGAGGGGAGUGAAAAAGAACCUGAAACCGUGUACGUACAAGCAGUGGGAGCCCCACCACUAAGCCAGUGGUGAACUCCACAUACGCAUCCUUUGCUGAGGAUACGGUUAACGGAGCGAAAGCGACGUUCAACCUCAAAAGAAGCAGAGGGGGCUUAGUGGUGGGGUGACUGCGUACCUUUUGUAUAAUGGGUCAGCGACUUAUAUUCUGUAGCAAGGUUAACCGCAUAGGGGAGCCGGAGGGAAACCGAGUCUUAAUUGGGCGUUAAGUUGCAGGGUAUAGACCCGAAACCCGGUGAUCUAGCCAUGGGCAGGUUGAAGGUUGGGUAACACUAACUGGAGGACCGAACCGACUAAUGUUGAAAAAUUAGCGGAUGACCUGUGGCUGGGGGUGAAAGGCCAAUCAAACCGGGAGAUAGCUGGUUCUCCCCGAAAGCUAUUUAGGUAGCGCCUCGUGAAUUCAUCUCCGGGGGUAGAGCACUGUUUCGGCUAGGGGGCCAUCCCGGCUUACCAACCCGAUGCAAACUGCGAAUACCGGAGAAUGUUAUCACGGGAGACACACGGCGGGUGCUAACGUCCGUCGUGAAGAGGGAAACAACCCAGACCGCCAGCUAAGGUCCCAAAGUCAUGGUUAAGUGGGAAACGAUGUGGGAAGGCCCAGACAGCCAGGAUGUUGGCUUAGAAGCAGCCAUCAUUUAAAGAAAGCGUAAUAGCUCACUGGUCGAGUCGGCCUGCGCGGAAGAUGUAACGGGGCUAAACCAUGCACCGAAGCUGCGGCAGCGACGCUGAUGCGUUGUUGGGUAGGGGAGCGUUCUGUAAGCCUGCGAAGGUGGCCUGUGAGGGUUGCUGGAGGUAUCAGAAGUGCGAAUGCUGACAUAAGUAACGAUAAAGCGGGUGAAAAGCCCGCUCGCCGGAAGACCAAGGGUUCCUGUCCAACGUUAAUCGGGGCAGGGUGAGUCGACCCCUAAGGCGAGGCCGAAAGGCGUAGUCGAUGGGAAACGGGUUAAUAUUCCCGUACUUGGUGUUACUGCGAAGGGGGGACGGAGAAGGCUAUGUUGGCCGGGCGACGGUUGUCCCGGUUUAAGCGUGUAGGUGUGUGUUCCAGGUAAAUCCGGUUCACUUUAACACUGAGGCGUGACGACGAGGCACUACGGUGCUGAAGCAACAAAUGCCCUGCUUCCAGGAAAAGCCUCUAAGCAUCAGGUAACAUCAAAUCGUACCCCAAACCGACACAGGUGGUCAGGUAGAGAAUACCAAGGCGCUUGAGAGAACUCGGGUGAAGGAACUAGGCAAAAUGGUGCCGUAACUUCGGGAGAAGGCACGCUGACACGUAGGUGAAGUGAUUUACUCAUGGAGCUGAAGUCAGUCGAAGAUACCAGCUGGCUGCAACUGUUUAUUAAAAACACAGCACUGUGCAAACACGAAAGUGGACGUAUACGGUGUGACGCCUGCCCGGUGCCGGAAGGUUAAUUGAUGGGGUCAGCGCAAGCGAAGCUCCUGAUCGAAGCCCCGGUAAACGGCGGCCGUAACUAUAACGGUCCUAAGGUAGCGAAAUUCCUUGUCGGGUAAGUUCCGACCUGCACGAAUGGCGUAAUGAUGGCCAGGCUGUCUCCACCCGAGACUCAGUGAAAUUGAACUCGCUGUGAAGAUGCAGUGUACCCGCGGCAAGACGGAAAGACCCCGUGAACCUUUACUAUAGCUUGACACUGAACAUUGAGCCUUGAUGUGUAGGAUAGGUGGGAGGCUUUGAAGUGUGGACGCCAGUCUGCAUGGAGCCGACCUUGAAAUACCACCCUUUAAUGUUUGAUGUUCUAACGUGGACCCGUAAUCCGGGUUGCGGACAGUGUCUGGUGGGUAGUUUGACUGGGGCGGUCUCCUCCUAAAGAGUAACGGAGGAGCACGAAGGUUGGCUAAUCCUGGUCGGACAUCAGGAGGUUAGUGCAAUGGCAUAAGCCAGCUUGACUGCGAGCGUGACGGCGCGAGCAGGUGCGAAAGCAGGUCAUAGUGAUCCGGUGGUUCUGAAUGGAAGGGCCAUCGCUCAACGGAUAAAAGGUACUCCGGGGAUAACAGGCUGAUACCGCCCAAGAGUUCAUAUCGACGGCGGUGUUUGGCACCUCGAUGUCGGCUCAUCACAUCCUGGGGCUGAAGUAGGUCCCAAGGGUAUGGCUGUUCGCCAUUUAAAGUGGUACGCGAGCUGGGUUUAGAACGUCGUGAGACAGUUCGGUCCCUAUCUGCCGUGGGCGCUGGAGAACUGAGGGGGGCUGCUCCUAGUACGAGAGGACCGGAGUGGACGCAUCACUGGUGUUCGGGUUGUCAUGCCAAUGGCACUGCCCGGUAGCUAAAUGCGGAAGAGAUAAGUGCUGAAAGCAUCUAAGCACGAAACUUGCCCCGAGAUGAGUUCUCCCUGAGACUUAGAGUCUCCUGAAGGAACGUUGAAGACGACGACGUUGAUAGGCCGGGUGUGUAAGCGCAGCGAUGCGUUGAGCUAACCGGUACUAAUGAACCGUGAGGCUUAACCUU
rnacentral:rRNA from 1 species